rnacentral:rRNA from 1 species
UACGUAGGGCGCAAGCGUUAUCCGGAAUUAUUGGGCGUAAAGAGCUCGUAGGCGGUUUGUCGCGUCUGCCGUGAAAGUCCGGGGCUCAACUCCGGAUCUGCGGUGGGUACGGGCAGACUAGAGUGAUGUAGGGGAGACUGGAAUUCCUGGUGUAGCGGUGAAAUGCGCAGAUAUCAGGAGGAACACCGAUGGCGAAGGCAGGUCUCUGGGCAUUAACUGACGCUGAGACGCGAAAGCGUGGGGAGCGAACAGU